AACGAACGCUGGCGGCAGGCUUAACACAUGCAAGUCGAACGCCCCGCAAGGGGAGUGGCAGACGGGUGAGUAACGCGUGGGAAUCUACCCAGUUCUGCGGAACAACAGUUGGAAACGACUGCUAAUACCGCAUACGCCCUACGGGGGAAAGAUUUAUCGGAAUUGGAUGAGCCCGCGUUGGAUUAGCUAGUUGGUGGGGUAAUGGCCUACCAAGGCGACGAUCCAUAGCUGGUCUGAGAGGAUGAUCAGCCACACUGGGACUGAGACACGGCCCAGACUCCUACGGGAGGCAGCAGUGGGGAAUAUUGGACAAUGGGCGCAAGCCUGAUCCAGCCAUGCCGCGUGAGUGAUGAAGGCCUUAGGGUUGUAAAGCUCUUUCAGUAGGGAAGAUAAUGACGGUACCUACAGAGGAAGCCCCGGCUAACUUCGUGCCAGCCGCCGCAGUAACAC
rnacentral:rRNA from 1 species